rnacentral:rRNA from 2 species
UUAGCAGAGAUGCUUUGGUGCCUUCGGGAACUCUGAGACAGGUGCUGCAUGGCUGUCGUCAGCUCGUGUUGUGAAAUGUUGGGUUAAGUCCCGCAACGAGCGCAACCCUUAUCCUUUGUUGCCAGCGGUCCGGCCGGGAACUCAAAGGAGACUGCCAGUGAUAAACUGGAGGAAGGUGGGGAUGACGUCAAGUCAUCAUGGCCCUUACGAGUAGGGCUACACACGUGCUACAAUGGCAUAUACAAAGAGAAGCGACCUCGC